UACAGAGGGUGCGAGCGUUAAUCGGAAUUACUGGGCGUAAAGAGCGCGUAGGCGGUUAUGUAAGUCAGAUGUGAAAGACCUUGGCUCAACCAGGGAACUGCAUUUGAUACUGCACAACUAGAGUAUGGUAGAGGAAAGUGGAAUUUCCGGUGUAGCGGUGAAAUGCGUAGAUACCGGAAGGAACACCAGUGGCGAAGGCGACUUUCUGGACCAAUACUGACGCUGAGGCGCGAAAGCGUGGGGAGCAAACAGG
rnacentral:rRNA from 1 species